GCUUUCCUGUGGCUCAGUUGGUAGAGCAUUGCGCAAACAACGCCAAUGUCAUGGGUUUAAAUCCCAGGGAAAGCA